rnacentral:lncRNA from 1 species
AUCAAAGUAUCAUAAUAAAGAAAAACAACCGACCGUCCCUAUACCAAGUAGCAAAGGGCUUGGUGGUUGGUACUCGAGAUCCAAGUUCGAAUUCUAGUUAAUUUAUAUUUCCAGCUAAGUUUAUUUUUAAAUGAAAUAAACGAAGCGGAUAGCGUGCUACCUAUCUCUCAAAAAAAUAAAUAAAUAAAUAAAUAAAGGAAAACACUCUCACUCGAAUGGUUUCAUUUCACAUGUAUUACACUCUAGUUUCCGGUCAUUAUAUAUAUAUAUAUAUAUAUAUAUAUAUAUAUAUAUAUAUAUAUAUAGAGAGAGAGAGAGAGAGAGAGAGAGAGAGAGAGAGAGGGUCCGGCUAUUAUACUUUAUGAGUACGAUUGCCCUCGUACUCAUAAGUUAUUUUGGAUGAUAAAGCUUCUAAAUCGACGAUCUACACCGUUAAACGUUAUCUAAAGCAUUUAAAACGUCUAGAAAUCAAAUUUUAUAAUUUUUCGACAUCAUUUACCAUACGAUCAAAAGGUCACAAAAUUGGCAAUUUUUAACGGCCGGUAUAGAAUAUUUGCGAGUUUAAUGGUGUAAAAGAAUCGAAAUCAGUUGCAUUUUUGCUAAAAAAUUAUAUUCACUAUAUAGAUAAAGAUCAAUAACUCCGAUCUUAAAUUGAAGGAUCCGAUCAUUCAUUUUUAAGUCGUUGUUCGAUUUUGACAGUUCAUUUUAUACCCGCUCGAUGAACUUUCUUAUAAUUUCAAAAAAUUAUAAAAUUUAUUUUCUAGAAGUUUCAAAUACUCUAGAUUAUAUUUAAUGGAGUGGAUCGUUGAUUCGGAAGCUCCAUCAUUAAAAACAACUUAUGAGACCAAGUGGUCUAUACUCAUAAGAGUAUAGUAGCCCUAGCCUAUAUAUAUAUAUAUAGAUAUGAGAGUGGAGAUAGAAUACUCCCAAAAGCACCAAGUGGGUGGUGCUUUAGAGUUUCUAGCCCUUGGAUGGAUAGAUGUGAGGUUGAGAUGAUGGUGGUAGGUGGUGGUAGGUUGAAUAGUGUUUGAUUUAAGGGAUAUUAGUAAUUAUGGAGUGGAUCAAAGGGUUAGAAAUUUAGAAGCACCAAGUGGGUGGUGCUUCUAAAAGUAUCCUAGCUCAACUCAUUUAUAUAUAUUUAUAGAGUAGAGCUACUAUACUCUUAUGAGUAUAGAACCCUUACUACUCAUAAGUUGUUUUAGAUGUUGGAGUUUCAAAUCGACGAUAUCUACACCGUUAAAUAUGAUCUAGAGUAUUUGAAACUUGUAGAAAAUAAAUUUCAUAAAUUUUUGAAAUCAUUAUAAAGUCCAUCAAGCGAGUAUAAAAUGAACGGUUAAAAUCGAAUGACAUCUUAAAAAUAGAUGAUCGGAUCUUUAAAUUUAAGAUCGGAUCUUUAAAUUUAAGAUCGGAGUUAUUGAACUUUAUUUAGGUAGUGAAUAGAAUUUUCUAUCAAAAAUUCAACCUAUUUCGAUUCUUUUUCACCGUUAAACUAGCAAAUAUCUCAUACCGGCCGUUAAAAAUUGUCAAUUUUGUGACCUUUUGAUCGUAAGGUAAAAUGAUAUCGAAAAAUUAUAAAUUUAAUUUCUAGAAGUUUUAAAUACUCUAGAUAAUAUUUAACGGUAUGGAUCAUCGAUUCGGAAGCUUUAUCAUCGAAAAUAAUUUAUGAGUACGAGGGCGAUCAUACUCAUAAGAGUAUAGUAGCCGUACUAUAUAUAUAUUAUAGAGAGAGAGAGAGAGAGAGAAGAGAGAGGAGAGAGAG